UGGGGAAUCUUGCACAAUGCACGAAAGUGUGAUGCAGCAACGCCGCGUGCGGGAAGACGGCCUUCGGGUUGUAAACCGCUUUCAGUUGGGACGAAGGUUCACGAGUUAAUAGCUUGUUGGACUGACGGUACCUUCACAAGAAGCCCCGGCUAACUACGUGCCAGCAGCCGCGGUAAUACGUAGGGGGCAAGCGUUGUCCGGAAUCAUUGGGCGUAAAGCGCGUGUAGGCGGCUCGAUAAGUCUGCUGUGAAAGUCCAGGGCUCAACCCUGGGAUGCCGGUGGAUACUGUCGAGCUCGAGUCCGGAAGAGGAGUGUGGAAUUCCUGGUGUAGCGGUGAAAUGCGCAGAUAUCAGGAGGAACACCAAUAGCGAAGGCAGCACUCUGGUACGUGACUGACGCUGAGACGCGAAAGCGUGGGGAGCAAACA
rnacentral:rRNA from 1 species